rnacentral:rRNA from 1 species
UACAGAGGGGGCAAGCGUUGUUCGGAAUUAUUGGGCGUAAAGGGCGCGUAGGCGGUGCGGUAAGUCACUUGUGAAAUCUCUGGGCUCAACUCAGAGUCUGCAAGCGAAACUGCCGUGCUUGAGUGUCGGAGAGGUAAGUGGAAUUCCCGGUGUAGCGGUGAAAUGCGUAGAUAUCGGGAGGAGCACCUGUGGCGAAAGCGGCUUACUAGACGACAACUGACGCUGAGGCGCGAAAGCUAGGGGAG